rnacentral:rRNA from 1 species
UGAUUAGAAGCUUGCUUCUAUGACGUUAGCGGCGGACGGGUGAGUAACACGUGGGCAACCUGCCUGUAAGACUGGGAUAACUCCGGGAAACCGGAGCUAAUACCGGAUAACAUUUUCUCUUGCAUAAGAGAAAAUUGAAAGAUGGUUUCGGCUAUCACUUACAGAUGGGCCCGCGGUGCAUUAGCUAGUUGGUGAGGUAACGGCUCACCAAGGCAACGAUGCAUAGCCGACCUGAGAGGGUGAUCGGCCACACUGGGACUGAGACACGGCCCAGACUCCUACGGGAGGCAGCAGUAGGGAAUCUUCCGCAAUGGACGAAAGUCUGACGGAGCAACGCCGCGUGAGUGAUGAAGGCUUUCGGGUCGUAAAACUCUGUUGUUAGGGAAGAACAAGUACAAGAGUAACUGCUUGUACCUUGACGGUACCUAACCAGAAAGCCACGGCUAACUACGUGCCAGCAGCCGCGGUAAUACGUAGGUGGCAAGCGUUAUCCGGAAUUAUUGGGCGUAAAGCGCGCGCAGGCGGUUUCUUAAGUCUGAUGUGAAAGCCCACGGCUCAACCGUGGAGGGUCAUUGGAAACUGGGGAACUUGAGUGCAGAAGAGAAAAGCGGAAUUCCACGUGUAGCGGUGAAAUGCGUAGAGAUGUGGAGGAACACCAGUGGCGAAGGCGGCUUUUUGGUCUGUAACUGACGCUGAGGCGCGAAAGCGU